UAUAUACAUACUAAUUCUAAAGUGACACUUGAACAGUUCUUAUCUAUGAUUGGCUGGAUUUUUUGUUUUGGUUUUUUUUUUUUUUUUAAUCUGUAUUUUUCCAUCAUAAUGGUUCGGUUCCGUUACUGUUCAUUCCCCAUACGUGUUCUUUUAUCCGUUCUUCUCCUUCUACGUGUACUGCCCUCCCAGUUCUUCUCCACUGCCUCCUUGCUUUACUGUUUUACAUCGUCUGCACAACUCAAAAUCGAUGGCUGCUUCGCACACCUAUUUUCUAUCUCUCCCACUGUUCCUCACCGACUCUUUAAAUCAAAGUUUGAGGGCUCCCAUCUGUUACUGAUCGGGAAAGAAAAAUGGAGGUGGGUUCCUUCAAUCCUUGACUACUCAAAAAGAAACACGAAGGAAGCAAGUGGUGAUGGCGUUUUUCGAUGGUGUUGGUCCGAGGAAGGUGGCAAGGUGGCGUUUGUCGAUGGUGUUUGCCACUCAUCUGGGUCCCUCUUUUCUAUCUUUGAUUCCAUUUUUUUUCACAACUCUCGGUAGGAGUCGAUGGUACUAGAAUUUUCAAUUAUCAGCCCUAGAUCUUCAAGAAUGUUGAUUCCACCGUCGCACCUUACCACCAUGGUACCCUAAUUUCAUUAUUUCACAAUGGGAAAUUCGAAUCGUUUAUCAAAAUUCUUCUGACAAAUACAGGCAAGUUAAUUAAUUAUAUUUGCUUCACUAUUUCUUUUUAUUUGGGUAUAUCGACUCUUUUCCUGUUGAUUAACAGAGCAAAGCACGAUGAUGGAAUCAUUUUGCAUCUUCAAUUACAGCAGCAAGGGUGGUGCCCUAAGCUUCUGCAGUUCUGAUUGAGGGUCUAUGCAAAAUCUUAUCUACCGAGAGACAGAGAGAAAGAAAAGGAGGAGAAAGAAAUGGAAGAACUCUUUAAGUUUUAUUAUAUUAAGGCCAAAUUCUCAUACUUUCUCUCUCUAUACGCUACAAUAUUACUUCCAAACAUACACAGAAUAAUUAAAAUUUUGGAAAAAUCUUAACAGUUCUUGAUGCUGGCCUCAUCGUCAUCCUUCAAGAGACUCAAUUCUCUGGAGUGCAACAUCAUCUCUUGGGUACAAUCAGCUUAUCAAUGGCAUAACAUCUUGAAAUCACUUGCCAUUCGUUGUUGGAGCCACAAAUUACUAUAUUCUGCAAGUAAUGAUUCAAUAGUGUUGAGAUCUUGGAGACAAAGCAAAUGGAAGAAAGUAAAAAAAAUUUGGAUACAUACAAUUUUUGAGGAGCAAUGGAUUCAAUAUUCAGAUAAGUUUAUUUCACUGUAAACAAUAUUUUCAGCUUUUGUUGUUUUGAAAAUUUCAGAUAUGGUUAGCUGCAUAGCUGUACCCUGUUCCUUACCCCCUCCACUAUUUUCUCCAAAUUUUCCUCCAAAUUCAAAUUCAAUGACCUCAACACUUCCAAUAUUCUCACUAACACAAGAAAAUCAUCCAAAAUAAGCUGCUCUGGCGCCGAAAAUUCUCAAAAUCAACAGCAAUAGUUCAAUCUAUCUGUUCUUCAGUUGGAUAGAUUUGAAGCAUCAAACAAGAUGAAGGUGACGACCAAAAAUGUCACUCUGCGGUUGACUUCUGGCGUUGAGUGGUUGCCAUUUCUGAGGGAAACAAAAUUAAGUUGUUUCCAGUCUUAAAUCAUCUUUUGAUUUGCAUUGAAGGCAUGUUAAAAGUUCAUUGCUUAUUGGAAAUGAUAGAGGAUUAUUGCAAGAUAGGCUUGAAUACAGGACGAUGAGGUGGUGGAAUAUUAUCUAUAUCAGGGAGAUUUCAUCCUGUUUUAGCGUCAAUGGAUUACUAAAAUCGGCGAGGACGACGAUUGAGUCGGCGGUUCUGUUCAGUUAGCACCGUCAUCAACGACCAACCGGUUCCAUCAUCUUCUACACCUAUACAUGUUUUGUAUCUAUCGUCUGUUUUCUGAAUUCUGUGGAUGUGGUUUUCCAACUUUCCAAUGGUUGUUCCUAUUGAAAUACAAAUUACACACAUACACUAGAUGGAAUAAAAAACCCCUUUUCUGCGAUGUUA